rnacentral:tRNA from 1 species
GGUGAGGUGGGUGAGUGGCUGAAACCACCAGUUUGCUAAACUGACCAACGGGUAACUGUUGCGCGAGUUCGAAUCUCGCCCUCACCG